rnacentral:rRNA from 1 species
GACGAACGCUGGCGGCGUGCCUAAUACAUGCAUGUCGAACGAGAGCGACCGGUGCUUGCACUGGUCAAUCUAGUGGCGAACGGGUGAGUAACACGUGGGUAACCUGCCCAUCAGAGGGGGAUAACAUCCGGAAACGGAUGCUAAAACCGCAUAGGUCUUCGAACCGCAUGGUUUGAAGAGGAAAAGAGGCGCAAGCUUCUGCUGAUGGAUGGACCCGCGGUGCAUUAGCUAGUUGGUGAGGUAACGGCUCACCAAGGCCGUGAUGCAUAGCCGACCUGAGAGGGUGAUCGGCCACAUUGGGACUGAGACACGGCCCAAACUCCUACGGGAGGCAGCAGUAGGGAAUCUUCCGCAAUGGACGCAAGUCUGACGGAGCAACGCCGCGUGAGUGAAGAAGGUUUUCGGAUCGUAAAACUCUGUUGUUAGAGAAGAACAAGUGCUAGAGUAACUGUUAGCGCCUUGACGGUAUCUAACCAGAAAGCCACGGCUAACUACGUG